GGAAGUUCAUAAGGCUGGGGUCAUCUUGUUUGCACAUUAACAGUAAGUACAAUACAGUAGCAGGCAGGAAAAACAUCAGCAUGAAGGUCCCAAAUCUUCCACCAAACUCUAGCUCCUUUGUUUUUGACGAUGGUUUCUCCGGAGUUUUUAUUGCCUCAAAAAUCUUUUUCUCUGCAUAGAUCUCUUCUUUUUUCUUUUCUUCUCUUCUUGAACGCAAGCUGUAUUGAUCAAGCACACGCUCCAUUUCCACGUCUGGUUUCAAUUUUUGUUGCUCCAAGAGUUUGCUGGAUGUGUCAUUUCUUUCCGUACUGUCAGGUUCACCAUUGUACCUUCUGGUGUUGUUCUCACUUGGUUUCGGUGGAGCUAAGCUGGUUUCCUGAAUAAUUUUCUUUUUGUCUUCUUUAUGCUCUCUGCUAUGGGAAGAAGAGCGACGUCUGCCUUUUGCUGGCCGACCAGGAGAUCUGGAUCGAGAUCUGCUUCUACUUCUUCUGGAAGGAGAACUUGAGGAAGACUGGCUUUUCCUCUGCUUGAAUGAUGACUGUAACCUUAUAUCACUUUCCUUCAAAGCAAGUUCGGUACCAUCUUUGUACUUCACAGUAUAAAGAUGAGAAGCAUCAUCAUAACUAGUCACUUGCACUUCAUAGUACAGGACGCUUCCUGGCCAACGACCCAUCACCACCUCACCAUCGGCAUACUUCCGGUUUGGCAUUUUCCAAAAGCAAUACCUGGCGCCCGCCCCCACCGGGACAGGCAGGAGGCGCCUCCGCGGUGCGGCGGGACCCGGCCCCGAGCGCGGUGCUCCUCAGCCGCGGGAACAACCGCCCUGAGCGACGGUUAGGGCCGCGCGACGGUCCGGCCCCCUAGCCCGCCCCUUCCCGGCGCCAAGCGCGCUGAUUGGCCGGGAAGGGCUGUUUGAAUCGCUGCUGGCUCCACGCCAUUGGCUGCCGGGCGAUGGCGCGGUCCUCGCGCCCGGCGCCGUGCCGCUGACGGGAAGCCCGCCCCCUGACGGCGGCCGAUAACGGGCAGGAAGAGCGGGCAUUCAGGGCCGCCGCCGCCAUGGCAGCGCAGGGUAGGCCUCAGCCCGCCUGCGCCGCGCGGAGCCCGCCGCCGUCCGUAAACAACGAGGGCCUGGGCGGCGGGAGCGCCCCGCUGAGGCGGGGAUAGGGGGAGUUUACCUGUGAAAUAACUGCCCUGUGCCCAGCGUUCGGAUCUCGGGAAAAUAGCACAUCCUUAAUGAUUAAUAGACAGACUGUUUGUUUGUGUGGCAACUUCAAAGGCUCUCCACGUUGUCUGUGUUGUGACACAGGCUGACAAGACCUGACAAAAAAGGCAUCAAAGUGAGGUUAAAGUCUCAGUAAAAACAGAGCCAGGUUAAAAAGCAGAGCUAAAUAAGUGCAGUUGGAAUGAAUUUGUUCUUCAGCUGUACGAAGGCCAUCAGCUUUUAUCUGGCAGGUAUCUAACAACUUGCUAUAGGAAAAGCCUGGAUGAGAGAGCUGUUGGGCCAUUAGGAACUGUUUAUUAUCAACAGGUUCGCUGGCAGGAUAGAAAUAUGGAUACAUGGAUUGAACCUUCUCAGAUCAACUGUUAAAUGGAACAAAUUUGAAGCCAGUUAGACCAUCAUCAGCAGCAUACUGCCUCUGCACUGCUACAAGACAAGUUUUCUAUGUCUGCACAAAGACCUCAGAAGCAGAGAGGGUUGCCCAUCAACACAAAGCGUCUGAUCUCACAUGAAACUGACUAAAGGGUUCUCCAGCUUUUCAUCUUAACAAGAAACAUUAAGCACUGCAACAUCACGUCUACCUGCAAACACCAAGACAAUCCUAUUCCCUUCGGAUUUGAUUCCUUCAAAUUCCAACCCUUUGGUUUCACUAAGAAACACAGGAGGGAUAUGAGAGGUUGUUGCUGCUGCUGGAGAAUGUCCCGUGGAGGGCAUCUGCCACCUUUCCUUCCCCUGAGUGUCAUCCCUAAAACGCUCCUCAGCUGGAGGAGGAAAGAGGAAUGAAGAAUUUGACAUUACUUGCGGGAGUGAAAUCUAAAUUAACUGUGACUAUCAGCUAUGAAGGCCUCCAUAUGCUAUGCUUACUCACAUGAUUCUACUUACGUAUGUAGUCCUGGGAAGAUGAGAUACACCAGCUGGUUUUGGCCAAACAGGGGACCUCUGUCCAAAUAAUGACAGCAAGACUAGAAUUACGUGUCUCAGCUAUCGUAUUUUCUUUAAUUCAAUAAUUUAAUCUAUCAAAAGGUGUAAGUCUGGAGGUAUCAACAGAUGUUAAUACAUGACUCACAACUCCAAACUGGUGACCGUUUGAGUCCCCUGAAUUAUUAACCAGGUUAUCGCUGCCUGUAAUAUUAUUAACUAUUGAUAUUACUGCACGUGCUGAUAAUUCAGCUUUAUACCUCUGGAAGCUCUUAGAUGUAUCUAUUCCAAAUGCUGUAUGAAAACUCAGGCCCCACAGUAGAGGCUUCAAGUUAAUCAAGUCUGUGGAACUAAGUUCAGGUAGUAUCCAAACCUGUCUGCUUUAUUUAAUGAUCUGAAAACAGUUCCUGAAACAAAGUUUUGCUACAAAUCCUUUGACCUUUCUUUUUCAUUGCUACAUAAUAGUGUUUACAUAUACACUGCCUAGCUUGCAUUUUUUCAUCUUGCACAAAAAGAAAGUGUGUGGCUUACAAAAUAAAUCCUACCUCCUGAGCAUUCUUAUCCGGUUGUUAGGGUAGUAUGGUUAGGUUGUGGUUGGACUCAAUGAUCUUUAAGGUCUUUUCCAACCUGAGUGAUUCUAUGAUUCUAUGAAAUUCAAAGAGCAGAGAAUGAACAAAACUUUUAAAAUACAGGUUCUAAAAUACAGACCUUCUAUCUUGUUGCCAGCCUGAGCAGGUUGAGAAACAUUACGAUAAAUGCCCUCAGUAGAGGCUUCAGAGGCGGGUGGGGUAAUUCGCUUCUAUUUCCCCUCUUGAUUAGCUCUUUGCUUCCGUGGGUUAAAGCACUCAUAAGGCUCACUGUAUUAUUAAAAAGCACACCUUACUAUAAAAACAUGCAUUUGUAGGAAAGUAUGUACUAUAUACGUAAAUAUUUCUAUUCAUAUAUAUACAUACACACACUGUACAUAUGUGCAUAUAUUAUACAGACUACAGAAGUCAUAUACUUGCUAUGUUUCAACUGCUGUUGAAGGACUAAGGUCGAUCCAUUUUUUAAAAGCUUUUGUGGAAAUUAAGCAAUGUGAAUGUGCACAGGCACUUGGGGGUUUGCUUUGAUCAGCUUAUGUUGAUUGUGGAAGAGGUUUCUCGUUAUGUAUAAAUUUAUAGUGCCUCAAAUUUGAACUUAAAGCCACGCAGAGGAACUGCACGCUCACAAACGGUACGGAUGGGAAUAAAUUAAGCUGGGCAUUUGCAUUCUGGGAAGUUGUGCAAAAUGUUUAUCUUCAGAAACAGCUUUUAAAACACGUUCAAAACUAUCAACAAGCACUGUGCUCAGCAGUGAGGAGAGGGAUACGGACACAUGCAAACCAACACCGGCUCUCUAAAGAGAAGCAGAAAAAAAGCACAUUGAAACUUUGAUCUCACAAACUUCCUCCUUGUAUUGUCGGUGAAUUUAUAAAUAUGGUUCAUUAUUGAAGGGAAGUUGAUGCAAUUCUUGAAGCCAUGAGAUAAGAGUUUUGGCUACCGUGCCUUCUGUCGGGCUGCUUACCUUCCCAUUUUCACAGCAUGGCUGUUAAAUUACUCCAGCAGUAAGCCCUUGAAACUGUCCACUUCUGAAGGACUGUGAAAAGUAUUUAUAAGGCAUGUCAGAGUUGUGUGCAUUGAAGAGUUGUAAAUGUUUAAUCAGAAUGCGAUUUUAAUUCUAGAAUAAGGUAGAAAACGAAGUUACUUAAAUAUAUUCUUAAGGGAACUCUUGGGUUCCAAGACUCUCAAG
rnacentral:lncRNA from 1 species